CGCUGGCAGGACAGAGCGAGAAGCUGAAAAGUCCUUGGCCUGGUGUAAGCACUGCUCUGCGACAAUUAAAACAUCAGUGUGUUACCAACAUUAUUCUCACCCUAAAUGCAAAACACAGCACCACACCAGCUACCAGGAGGAAAAUUAACUCUAUCCCAGCUGAAACCAGGACAUUGCUCCAAAAGCCAGCCUUCAUGGAGAGGGGACAGGGAACUGUGUUCUGGGGGCGGGAAUGGGAAGGAGCUAGGGCUUCCCUGGGAUGGCAUCUGCCUACUUGCCUGGCUACAGGGUUGGCCUUGGGAUUUGUGUGAAGGGACCCCAUGGCUCAGUGACCCACUGAGGGCUUUGCUCCAGCUCUGGGAAUCCCUAAUGAACAUCGUGACUCCAGCCAGGAGUUCAGCAGUGCUGCUUCUGCUGGAGCAGUUGUCAGCUCCCAGAGCAGACCAGCAGCUUUGCUUCCUGCAGGUGCUGCUACGCUUUGCGAACUCUCAGAACAAACUUGCAAAGGAGAGAGCCAUGGAAAGGAUCUGGAGGCUGACUGGUUUCAUUUCUAGCUGUUCUGAUCAGGAGCCAUUUGGAAAAUACCUCCAGCCUCCUCAGAGGACAGCCAUCGUCCUCAGGACACUUGAGACCAUGAGAGACUGCUGCAUCGAUAACAAGAAGAACCAGUGGGCCAAGUUCAUGGUGGAAGUGGCCGUGAGAGACUCUGCCUCUUGGCUGAUGGAAGUGCAAAAGAUUCUGAGAUUCCUCCAUGAAAACCUAAAAAAGAGCAACAGCACAUCUUUACUCCGGCAGAGCUUCUUCUUAGUACUGAAGGCACUGACUAACCAGUUUCCCAGGGAAGCUCUCAGAAGUGUGCUGACCAGCCUUCCGUCACUUGACAGCACUACGCUGGACAUCUGGAAGGCGAUGCUUUCCCUUCCAAUGACUUCAGGGAAGAUCUUGCGAGAGCUACAGAACGUUCUCCAGGACGAACGGGUGUGCUGGUCUUUGCACAUCCAGACAGAGCACACCACCUUCUUAACCUGGCUGUGAGUAACCAGAGGACACACCUUGCUCCUCUUCAGGGCUGUGUGCUCUCCUCCAGGAAAGAGGCACAGGCCUUUCCCCGCCCCAUCUUCCCCAAACUGUCACUUCUUCCAGGACUCAUAGACACAGCCCCUUAGGGCCAGCACCAGCCCCCCUACAUCAACCGUAUGGGGUCCCUGUGCACGAAGACGAAGCCUACCCCUUUAUACGCAGUGCUCACUUUUCGCCAUCUUCGGCACCCCCCUACCUUGCCCUUCAGACUGGAAACCUGUGGCAGUGGCAGGGCCAGGGGUAUUGUCACAGCAACGGCUGGGGCUGGGGCGGAGCCAUGGUCUUUGCACAGUCUGGGCAGGCUGUGAGACCGGGCACAAGUAGCACCUGUAGCCACCUGCUUCCAGUGCCUGCUUCGUGCCAGUUCAUGCUGGUCUGUUGCUCCUCAGAGGCAUGGCAGCAAGAGGCUGCGGACAGCCAGAGGGCAGGAGGAGCAGGCAAAGAAAAGGUGCUGCGUGGUGCCACGCACAGGGCACAGAAGGGCCCUGUUUUCUUCUGCAGGCACAGCUGCCCCAGGACGGGCACCUGGACGGGCACCAGGGUUUGUGUCCCCUGCAUCCUGCCCUGAGCUGCCAGGGGAGCCAGGAGCUGCAGGGUGACGGGCAUGCUGCAGGCUCUGCCCAUCUCUCACGGCUGUGUUCAUUUCAGAUGAUGUGUCCAACUGAACGUGUACUAGCGGAUUUAUGUGACACAGAAAAGCUCCUGCUGCUUCUGAGUCUUGACAACCUGCCGAUUCUCUGGCUGGUGCUCAGAGCCCUCGUCAUGUUGUCAGAGAGAUCUGAGAUGGUGAGGGUAGUGCAGCUCCUGCUGCCAGAAGUCAUGGAGACUCUGCAGUAUGACAACACACACAUCACUGAGAAGGCCCUGACUGUCUUCGAAAACGUGAUCGGUCAUCUGGAGAAGAGGGAGGCCAGCCCCAUCGCUCUGGCACUGGCUGAGAGACUCCUGCCUCUUUUUAACAACCAGGUGUCCAGUGAGGUGCGGGAGCGCUCCAUGCUCCUCUUCCAAGACCUGAUGGAGUCUGUGGUGUGGUGGAAAAAAGGAGCAAUGAAAACGACCGUGCGCAGGGCCCUUAUUCCACUGUUGUUCCGGAUGAGUGACGAGACUCAGAGCGUGGCCAAGGCCUCUGCAGUAGUCCUACUUGCCUGUGCAAAGUUCCUGAAGUGGAAACAGCUUGAGCAGCUGACUCAGACUGAGGACAUCUGGAGGAUUUGGGAGUACUUGCUCAAGCAGAAGAUCAGCAGGGUGGAAGGAUGCCUGCCAUACCUGGAGGAUGCUCAGGCCAACUUGCGACAGGAGGCUGUCAAAUUCAUCGCGUUUGCUGCAUUGCACUCCGGGGACCUAGACAAAGAGAAGCUGCGUAUGAUCAUCACCUACCUCCAAAUUCAUUCGGAAUACGACAUCCAUCCAUCGAUCCGUCACCUGGCAGCUGGGACCAUAGAGAUCCUGCAACGUCAAGUACAGCAGCAACCCGCAUCAAGAUGGGCUAGGCUGGCAGCACUGCGCUGCUGGCCCUGAACAGCCAGGGAGCCACAGAGCUUCCCUGGGGAAGAUCUCUCUGAAUAAAACUCGAACUACAAGACCA
ensembl:lncRNA